rnacentral:rRNA from 1 species
AGAGCUAAUACAUGCUAAAAGCCUCGACUUCGGAAGGGGCGUAUUUAUUAGAUAAAAAACCAAUGCCCUCCGGGGCUCCUUGGUGAUUCAUAAUAACUUAACGAAUCGCAUGGCCUUGCGCCGGCGAUGGUUCAUUCAAAUUUCUGCCCUAUCAACUUUCGAUGGUUGUGUAGUGGACAACCAUGGUUUCUACGGGUAACGGGGAAUUAGGGUUCUAUUCCGGAGAGGGAGCCUGAGAAACGGCUACCACAUCCAAGGAAGGCAGCAGGCGCGCAAAUUACCCAAUCUCGACACGAGGAGGUAGUGACAAUAAAUACUGAUACAGUGCCCUUUCGGGUAUUGUAAUUGGAAUGAGUACAAUUUAAAUCCCUUAACGAGGAACAAUUGGAGGGCAAGUCUGGUGCCAGCAGCCGCGGUAAUUCCAGCUCCAAUAGCGUAUAUUAAAGUUGUUGCAGUUAAAAAGCUCGUAGUUGAAACUUGGGCCUGGCUGUCCGGUCCGCCUCACCGCGUGCACUGGCUCGGCCGGGCCUUUCCUUCUGGGGAACCGCAUGCCCUUUAUUGGGUGUGUCGAGGAUCCAGGACUUUUACUUUGAAAAAAUUAGAGUGUUCAAAGCAGGCCUAUGCUCGAAUACAUUAGCAUGGAAUAAUAGAAUAGGACGUGUGGUUCUAUUUUGUUGGUUUCUAGGACCGCCGUAAUGAUUAAUAGGGAUAGUUGGGGCCAUCAGUAUUCAAUUGUCAGAGGUGAAAUUCUUGGAUUUAUUGAAGACUAACUACUGCGAAAGCAUUUGGCAAAGAUGUUUUCAUUAAUCAGGGAACGAAAGUUAGGGGAUCGAAGACGAUCAGAUACCGUCGUAGUCUUAACCAUAAACUAUGCCGACUAGGGAUCGGACGGUGUUAUUAUUUUGACCCGUUCGGCACCUUACGAGAAAUCAAAGUUUUUGGGUUCUGGGGGAAGUAUGGUCGCAAGGCUGAAACUUAAAGACAUUGACGGAAGGGCACCACCAGGCGUGGAGCCUGCGGCUUAAUUUGACUCAACACGGGGAAACUCACCAGGUCCAGAUUUGAUAAGGAUUGACAGAUUGAGAGCUCUUUCUUGAUUCAA